GCAUUCGUAGCUCAACAGGACUAGAGCAGCUGACUUGUAAUCAGCAGGCUGUGGGUUCGAUUCCCACCGAAUGCU
rnacentral:tRNA from 1 species